UACGAAAAGGAAGUUUGGACCGGGGGGCCCGCACAAGGCGGUGGAGCACGUGGUUUAAUUCGAUGACAAACCGAAGAACCUUACCUGGGUUUGACAUGUACGUGGUACGGAUCUAGAAAGGUGAAGGACCCGGUCUUCGGACUGGGAGCGUACACAGGUGCUGCAUGGCUGUCGUCAGCUCGUGUCGUGAGAUGUUGGGUUAAGUCCCGCAACGAGCGCAACCCUUGCCUUUAGUUGCCAGCAGUUCGGCUGGGCACUCUAAAGGGACUGCCGGUGUUAAACCGGAGGAAGGUGGGGAUGACGUCAAGUCCUCAUGGCCUUUAUGACCAGGGCUACACACGUACUACAAUGGCCGAUACAAAGGGCAGCGACACUGCGAGGUGAAGCCAAUCCCGUAAAAUCGGUCUCAGUCCGGAUUGGAGUCUGCAACUCGACUCCAUGAAGUUGGAAUCGCUAGUAAUCGUGGAUCAGCAUGCCACGGUGAAUACGUUCCCGGGCCUU
rnacentral:rRNA from 1 species